rnacentral:tRNA from 1 species
ACUUAGAUAGUUUAAAUUAGAAUUAUAAUUUGUGGUAUUAUAGGUGAAUUAUUUCUCUAGGUU